rnacentral:tmRNA from 1 species
GGGGCUGAUUAUGGAUUCGACAAAAUUAUUGAAAACUAAAGUGCAUGCCGAGGAACGGUUUGCCUCGUUAAAAGCCGUAAAAAUAUAAUAGCAAAACAUAAAAACUACGCUUUAGCAGCUUAAUAACCUAAGUUAAAGCCCUCUUUCUUUACUUAUUCUCUUAAAGAAAAGAUAAAAGGGGUUAAAAAAACAAGAGAUCGCAAAUUCGAGUCAUACUUACAAUCUUGAUUUGUUAAAAUUUCUGUAAGUAAUAAUCUAUACGCGUGUCUAUACGUUUGUAGAUAAUCACCAAUAAUAGACUAAGCAUGUAGUACUGAAGUCGUAAAAGUUUUGGACGCGGGUUCGAUUCCCGCCAGCUCCACAA